rnacentral:rRNA from 1 species
UACGUAGGGGCAAGCGUUGUCCGGAAUCAUUGGGCGUAAGAGCGUGUAGGCGGCCCGAUAAGUCCGCUGUGAAAGUCCAGGGCUCAACCCUGGAAUGACCGGUGGAUACUGUCGGGCUCGAAUCCGGAAGAGGUGAGUGGAAGUUCCUGGUGUAGCGGUGGAAAUGACGGCAGAUAUCAGGAGGAACACCAAUGGCGAAGGCAGCUCACUGGGACGGUAUGACGCUGAGACGCGAAAGCGUGGGGAGCAAACAGG